GUACUCUCUUUGGCAGCACAUAUACUAAAAAAAGGAACAACACAGAGAAGAUUAGCAUGGGCCCCUGCACAAGGAUGACAAACAGAUUCAUGAAGCAUUCCACAUUUUU
ensembl:snRNA U6 U6 spliceosomal RNA